rnacentral:lncRNA from 1 species
CACCUUCCCGCACCCGAGCUGGGAGUGGGUAGUGGUGGGGGCCAUCGAGCGGGUUAAAGGGCGCGUGCACAGUGCACCGCCAGGGGAGGCGGGGAGGCGACGGCGACGGCCACACUCAGAGCCACAGGGUCACCUGGACAGGGGUCAGCCAGGCCUUAAGGGUAAGGAUCGAGAAGGUGCCGCCUAAGCCGGGCGGGAUUCCUCGAGAAGGCCCGCCACGCCCCUGCCCUCCAUUCCCGGGAACCCCACAAAGUGCUGAGUAACGCAGACCAGGAAGAAGAAGGAAGGAUGACCUUAUCUCUAGAAACUCUCAUCAAUGUGGAAGAAUGCUUCUCAGCAACAAAAAAGAACGAACUCCUUCUGUACACGAUAACAUGGAUGAAGAUCAAAAAUACUAUGCUGAGUGGAAGAAGCCAGAACAAAAGACUACAUACUGUAUGAAUCCAUCAUAUGAAGUUCUAGACCAGGUAAGACUAAUAUAUAGUGACAGAAAGCAAAUCAGUGGGAUGGGGGCAUUGCAGAGAGGAGUGGGGAAACUUCUUUGUGGUUACAUAGAUCUAUACAUUUUUCACAAUUCAUGGAAUGAUGCGCUGAAAAUGGCUACAUUUUAUUUAUUAUGGGUGUAAACUAUACCCCCAAUAAAGUUGAUUUAAACAAUAAAAACAUAGUCUCUGAGUAAUCCUUUCAAGGCACAAAAGCCAUCCUUAAGACAUUAAAAUAAUCACACUUACAAGGCAACAAAGAUGGGAUAAAUUGGAACAUUUAGGCAUUGCUUUGUUUCAGGCCACAUAAUUUGAAACCCUGGCUAACUGAAAGAGACAGUGCAUUCAAAAGUAAAUAUUCCUUUUACAGCUAUUGUAGCCUUUAGAUAGAAUAUCAGAUAUUAAACAUACAUAAUCUAAUUGGGAGACUGACCAUAAAUACCCUAAAUCCAGAGACGUGGAGCAUCAUUGAGGGAAAAAUACAAAUGAGUAGAACCUGAUGGACUGUUUAUGAAGGACACUUGGGGAGAGUCUGAGCCAUCCACACUAAUGCCUCAAGGGCUAAGAAAGCACCAAGCUAAGAAAGAUACAGUAAGAAGCCUCACACCCUAAGAUCAGGUAAAAGACAAGGAUGUCUGCUCUCAUUGCUUCUAUUCAACGUCAUAUUGCAAGUUCUAGCCAGAGUAAUUAGGCAAGAAAAAGAAAGAAAAGGCAUCCAGAUUGGAAAGG